CUAAUACAUGCAAGUCGAGCGAACAGAGUAGGAGCUUGCUCCUUUGACGUUAGCGGCGGACGGGUGAGUAACACGUGGGCAACCUACCCUAUAGUUUGGGAUAACUCCGGGAAACCGGGGCUAAUACCGAAUAAUCUCUUUUGCUUCAUGGUGAAAGACUGAAAGACGGUUUCGGCUGUCGCUAUAGGAUGGGCCCGCGGCGCAUUAGCUAGUUGGUGAGGUAACGGCUCACCAAGGCGACGAUGCGUAGCCGACCUGAGAGGGUGAUCGGCCACACUGGGACUGAGACACGGCCCAGACUCCUACGGGAGGCAGCAGUAGGGAAUCUUCCACAAUGGGCGAAAGCCUGAUGGAGCAACGCCGCGUGAGUGAAGAAGGUUUUCGGAUCGUAAAACUCUGUUGUAAGGGAAGAACAAGUACAGUAGUAACUGGCUGUACCUUGACGGUACCUUAAUAGAAAGCCACGGUUAACUACUUGCCAGCACCCGCGGUAAUACUAAGGUGGCAAGCGUUGUCCGGAAUUAUUGGGCGUAA
rnacentral:rRNA from 1 species